UAUGAGGGAUCCUAGCAUUGUUCGGAAUCAUUGGGCGUAAAGCGGGUGUAGGUGGCUUUGUAAGUCAGGUGUGAAAGCCCAGGGCUCAACCCUGGAAGUGCAUUUGAUACUGCGAAGCUUGAGUGCUGGAGAGGUUAUUAGAAUUCCUGGUGUAGUGGUGAAAUACGUAGAUAUCAGGAGGAAUACCAGAGGCGAAGGCGGAUAACUGGCCAGACACUGACACUCAGACCCGAAAGCGUGGGGAUCAAACAGG
rnacentral:rRNA from 1 species